rnacentral:rRNA from 1 species
GUCUUCUUGAUAAAAUAAGAAGUCUGACCUGCCCAGUGAAAUAUUUUAACGGCCGCGGUAUAUUGACCGUGCAAAGGUAGCAUAAUCAUUAGUCUUUUAAUAGAGGGCUGGAAUGAAGGGUUUAACGAAGUACUUACUGUCUCAUUUAAUUUGGUGUUAAAAUUUACUUUUUCAGUCAAAAAGCUGAAAUAUUAUUGGAAGACGAGAAGACCCUAUAGAGCUUUAUAUUUAAUUAUUUAAUAAAUUUUUGAUGUAAUUAUUAUUUAUUAUUUAAUAAAAUAUUUUGUUGGGGUGACAAAAAUAUAUAAUUAACUUUUUUAUUUAUAUAACAUUGAUAUAUGAGAAAUAGAUCCAGUUUUACUGAUUAUUAGAAUAAGUUACCUUAGGGAUAACAGCGUAAUCUUCCUUUAGAGUUCAUAUUCACAGGGAGGCUUGCGACCUCGAUGUUGGAUUAAGAUUAUAAUUAGGUGUAGCCGCUUAAAAAAUAGGUCUGUUCGACCUUUAAAUUCUU